rnacentral:rRNA from 1 species
UACGAAGGGGCUAGCGUUGUUCGGAUUUAGACUGGGCGUAAAGCGCACGUAGGUGGAAUAGUUAAGUGAGGGUGAAUCCCGAGGCUCAACCUUGGAACUGCCUUUGAUACUGGGGAUCUUGAGUCCGGGAGAGGUGAGUGGAACUGCGAGUGUAAGAGGUGAAAUUCGUAGAUAUUCGCAAGAACACCAGUGGCGAAGGCGGCUCACUGGCCCGGAACUGACGCUGAGGCGCGAAAGCGUGGGGAGCAAACAGG